rnacentral:rRNA from 1 species
AAGCGGUGGAGUAUGUGGCUUAAUUCGAGGCUACGCGCAGAACCUUAUCCCGGGCUUGACAUGCACGGAUUAGCCGGCGGAAACGUCGGUGAGGCCGCGAGGUACAACGUGCACAGGUGCUGCAUGGCUGUCGUCAGCUCGUGCCGUGAGGUGUUGGGUUAAGUCCCAUAACGAGCGAAACCCCUACCCUGAGUUGCUACCGGCAACGGGCACUCUCGGGGGACUGCCGGUGUCAAACCGGAGGAAGGUGGGGAUG